rnacentral:rRNA from 1 species
AGAAUCAACGCUGGCGGCGUGCCUAACACAUGCAAGUCGCACGAGAAAGGGACUUCGGUCCUGAGUACAGUGGCGCACGGGUGAGUAACACGUGAAUUAUCUACCUCCGAGUGGGGAAUAAACUGAGAGAAAUCUUAGCUAAUACCGCAUAACACUUACGAGUCAAAGCAGCAAUGCGCUUGGAGAGGAGUUCGCGGCAGAUUAGUUAGUUGGCGGGGUAAUGGCCCACCAAGACGAUGAUCUGUAUCCGGCCUGAGAGGGCGCACGGACACACUGGAACUGAAACACGGUCCAGACUCCUACGGGAGGCAGCAGUGGGGAAUUUUGCGCAAUGGGGGAAACCCUGACGCAGCAACGCCGCGUGGAGGAUGAAAUAUCUUGGUAUGUAAACUCCUUUCGAUGGGGAAGAUAAUGACGGUACCCAUAGAAGAAGCCCGGCUAACUUCGCGCCAGCAGCCGCGGUAA